rnacentral:lncRNA from 1 species
GGUAGUUACCGUUUCAGAACGGCAGUUACCGUUCCAGAACGGCAUAUGCCAUGGUAUGUCAGUGGUCGCGACGGCAGUUACCGUUUCAGAACGGCAGUUACCGUUCCAGAACGGCAUAUGCCAUGGUAUGUCAGUGGUCGCGGUGGCACAUGCCACAGGCCAUUAAACGAUCUCGGCGUCUCUCCCCCAACAUGCUAGGUCAAUUUUCGGCAUCAUAAGGUUGAGUGAUAUAGUCAUGUCAUACACCGUUUGAAAGCUUAGAAUCUGUCAACCAAUGUCAACCAUUCGGUGGAAUAAAUAUGUUUAGUAAAUAUAGAUCAAAUAUAUCCUAGUGUCUUAGGUCAAAAUAGCCCCCCUCACCCUCCUCCUCCCUUGGUCCAUUCUAACUUUAUCGUAGUUGUGGAUAUCCUUAGCAAUGAGUUGAUACUUCAUGUUGGGUCUUGAAAUGUUCAUAAGCGUCCACAGAAAUCGAAUAUCAAUGUUAUUUUAGUCUAAUUACAUUGUGUAUAUGCACAAGCCAUCUUAUACAAAGCAGCCGAAAAAUAGAAAACCGAAACGCUGCAAUGUUUUUUUGUAGAAAACUGCUUUUAUGUUUAUACUGGUUUUCUUUGACUUUUAGAGACACGUCAGUGUAAUUGUGAAUGGCGAGAGCCCUGAAAUACAGCUGGACAGCAGCGGUCUACAUCACUGCCCCUUCUGCAGAUACAAAGGGUCAAAAUGUGAUAUCGACCAUCACAUUAAAUGCCAUGCCUCGGUUAAAUACAGAGGUCUGCAGAGGAGCUUUCAGGAAGCAGGAAGAGAAGACGGGAGGAAAAAAAGCUACAGACAAAACUGAAGACCAGGAACUGGAACCUGGGAACCUGGUAUAUAAUAUGUGUGUAAUGUUGGAGGUUGUUUGUAUAGCCAGAUGAAAUAGUCUGAUGACUAGUUGAAUAGUGUUUUUUAUCACUGAAAACUCAUCAGUAGUAGUAGCCUUUGUUUGCAUACCAUUUUGUGGUUUUGGGAGGGUAGGGUGUCAAGUACAGACACAAAUAAUUUUUCUUUCUUCUUCAAGGAAGAUUAUGUUGUCCUGAAGGACACAAUUCAGGCAGCAGCAUGGUGCCAGUUACAGUCCUUCAAGGACAGCGUUU